GAUGAACGCUGGCGGUGUGCCUAAUACAUGCAAGUCGAGCGAACAGACGAGGAGCUUACUCCUCUGACGUUAGCGGCGGACGGGUGAGUAACACGUGGAUAACCUACCUAUAAGACUGGGAUAACUUCGGGAAACCGGAGCUAAUACCGGAUAACAUAUUGAACCGCAUGGUUCAACAGUGAAAGACGGUCUUGCUGUCACUUAUAGAUGGAUCCGCGUCGCAUUAGCUAGUUGGUAAGGUAACGGCUUACCAAGGCAACGAUGCGUAGCCGACCUGAGAGGGUGAUCGGCCACACUGGAACUGAGACACGGUCCAGACUCCUACGGGAGGCAGCAGUAGGGAAUCUUCCGCAAUGGGCGAAAGCCUGACGGAGCAACGCCGCGUGAGUGAAGAAGGUCUUCGGAUCGUAAAACUCUGUUAUUAGGGAAGAACAAAUGUGUAAGUAACUAUGCACGUCUUGACGGUACCUAAUCAGAAAGCCACGGCUAACUACGUG
rnacentral:rRNA from 1 species